UAAUCUCACAUCAACAACUCUUGUUGUGGAUGGUGGAAUUGGACGUCUGUCGUGUUACACGACUCGUCUGAAAUGUAUGAGUGUACCCUGCCUUGCAGCGUAUCCAGUGUGAUAAGCAUCUUCACUGGUUUGGCCUUUACCGGCGACGCCUUGGCCACAGGUAGUAUGCUUCUAACCGUCCCUAUGGACAAUAUCUUGACA
rnacentral:misc_RNA from 1 species